rnacentral:rRNA from 1 species
UACGUAGGGUGCAAGCGUUAAUCGGAAUUACUGGGCGUAAAGCGUGCGCAGGCGGUUAUGUAAGACAGAUGUGAAAUGCCCGGGCUUAACCUGGGAACUGCAUUUGUGACUGCAUGGCUAGAGUUUGGCAGAGGGGGGGUAGAAUUCCACGUGUAGCAGUGAAAUGCGUAGAGAUGUGGAGGAACACCGAUGGCGAAGGCAGCCCCCCUGGGUCAAGAUUGACGCUCAUGCACGAA